UUUCCGUAGGUGAACCUGCGGAAGGAUCAUUAAUGAGUUGUCAUGGGGUUCGAUGCUGGCAGCCAAUUUUUGGAUGCAUGUGCUUGCCCUAACAAUCAUCUUCCAAACACCUGUGCACAUUUUUGAGGGAGUCUUGAGUUGGUUGCCGCUCUUGGGUGAUUUUCUCACAUUCCCUUAAAUCAUUAUACGCUAUUUACAAUGUUGAACGUGCUCUGUGCCGCAAGGCUAUUAAUAUAAUACAACUUUUAACAACGGAUCUCUUGGCUCUC
rnacentral:misc_RNA from 1 species